AGCCCAACAAAAUUGGCUGGCAGAGCAACAGAAAAUGCAGCAACAACAGAUGCAGGUAUUCAUCAAUUGUUUCAUCUUUCCCCUGCCUGUAACGAUGAGAGUAUGUAGCAGUGGCAAAGAGGGAGAGGCAGCAAGAUCUUGUGGCUCUCAGCAGGGAGUCUGGAGCCAGAAAGCCUGGGUAUGAAUCCAAGCUCCACCUCUUAGAACAGGCUGCACAGCUCAGCACAACAUUCCAAGCUCAAAAUAGAAGCCUUCUCAGUGAGCUCCAGCACGCCCAGAGGACUGUUAAUAACGAUGAUCCAUGUGUUUUACUCUAAAGUGCUAAAUAUGGGAGUUUCCUUUUUUUACUCUUUGUCACUGAUGACACAACAGAAAAGAAACUGUAGACCUUGGGACAAUCAACAUUUAAAUAAACUUUAUAAUUAUUUUUUCAAACUUU
rnacentral:sRNA from 1 species